rnacentral:lncRNA from 1 species
ACCAUUGUAAAUGUCCAUAAAGUUUUAGGAUGAUGAUCUUAGCAAAUAGAUAAGAUCAUUAAGGGUCUUGUCAAAUUCUGUUUCAUAGUAGUCCCAAAGGAGCUCACUAUGUGACUUAGAAAGUGAUUGAACCACCAACUUUCUCAAGACUUUGACACCUAACUCUCCCGGCUUGUCAAUAUGUGACUAUAUCUCCAUGAUGUGAUCACAUCUAGACCUUGCCUUGCCAAUAGGGCUUGAGUGACCUUGAACUUGUGGGUUAGGUAGAAUAAUUGGAGGAUGUGAAAGAAGUAUGAUUUCCAUGGGACAUGAUCUUCAUUUAGGAAAGCUUGUUUCAAGAGAUUUGGGAAUAUCAUAAAUUUCUAAACCAGACAUAUUUUGGGAGAUAUUCAAGAUAGUUGAUCUAAAGUCCUUAAUAUAACACCCAAUAUGAAAUAUUAAGGCUAGGACCCAACAAACUAUUUUAUAACUUAGAAGAGGGAUGCCGUAAUCCAACCUAUAAAAUAUUUUGAAGGUAGGUGAAUGAUGAUUCACCAAUUUCCACCAAGAUAAACGAAAUGUAUUAUUAGGUUUUAAUUGGAUUUGAAACUAUUAGAUCUUUUGAGAUUCAUUGAACUUUUCAAUGGCAUGUUUCAAUCUUGAUUGUGCCCUUCAGGUUUUGUGACUAGGAUGCCGAAGAUCAUAAAACAAGGUGUGAAAUAACCAUGCAAAUUACUUGGAACCCUUAAGUGCUUACCCCUCUAUCGAUGUGCCAGUUAACCACACACGCUCCAUCGAUACUAUGAUAAAUAUUAAGUUACCCUUUGCCUACCUUGUUAAAUACACGUUAGUGUGCCGGUUAACCAGGCACGCUCCACUAACUGACUUAAACAAAGUGCAAAGUGUAAUUCUAUGGAUUAGCACCUUAGUCACAUUUUCCUAAGUAACUAAGAUUGGGUAUUAUUAAGAGUUUAGUUACUUAGUAUUUAUCAUUAAUACUUUUAAUGAAGGGAGAAUUAUAGUCCUUGUCCUACCCGUUCGGCUGACGACCCUCCACCAGUCAAGGAAGCGGUGGGUGAGAGUGGACACCCAUUAAACUGCCAUUUUAUAGGCAGUAACCUUAUACCCCCCUUAUAGACCGACUUCGUGAAUGAGGCCUACUAAUGGUAAGACUACCUUUACUCUUAUACAUAUAUAUAAAUAUUAUUAACUUAUAAUAUUAUAAAGUAUAAGGGUUGAAUUUUAACUUUUAAAAUUCUAAGGGCUAACUUGGAAUUAAAGUAUUCAUAAGUGAAAACUUUUCAAAUUCCAAAACUUGAGGGCAAGUUUUGAAACUAUUCAAAACUAAUUAAUUCCAUAACUUAUGUGUUUAAAGUAGUUUUAAUCCAAAAACUCUUCAAGUUCCAUAACUUGAGGACAAGUUAUGGAAGACUUUAAACUAAUAAAAGAAUUAACUUUUCUUUAUUUUAUAACUUAUGGAAUUAAUUAACGUCACAUUUUUUUUAUUUAUUAUUUAAUGAAGACACUCUUGGUCCUCCAUAACAUGAGGACAUGUUAUGGAGUCAUAAAACCAUUUAAUUAGAACUAGACUCUUCAUUUUUGUAACCUUUGCCAAUUUUUAUGAGUUUGAUGAUUCUUAAAUGUGACUUUUCAUAUAACUUGAGGACAAGUUACAAAAACACAUUUUAGAAUCAAUUCUUAGAUUAAUUUGGAUUAAAACCAACUAUCACAUAAUUUUAUUCAUUAAUCUAAAUUCACUCAUAAAACAAGGUAACACAAAAAACUUUUGGUGAUCCAUAACUUAUUCUUAAGUUAUGGAAUCCUUUAAAACAUUAACACCAAAUUUUGUAACUCCAUAAAAACUUUGAAUCAAUUUUUUUUUANUGAACAUUCUACAUCAAAAACAAGUUUAUAAGUCCAAAAACAACUUAGGGUAAUGUUCCUAGUCCAUUUCUAGCCAAAAACCUCGAAAAUAUGUUGUCUGGGGCUCCUACCCGUCAAGUGCAUGAACCUACUCAACGAGUAGGAUGAUUUUACUCAUGGACUCGGCGAGUUCAUUAGUGGACUCGGCGAGUCCAGUGCCCAGAAAGCCAGAAAAUUGAGUUUUCCAGCAUUUUUCAGCAAUUUGCAUCAAGUAUAUUUGAAAACAACCCUAGGCUCUGAUACCACUCUUGGGUUAUGAGCAUUCUAACACUCCUGAGUGUACAUGCAACCCUAAAUACCUUGGAUCUAUGUUUUCUCUAUUAUACAUGCAAAUAUGAACAUCCAAGUUAUUAUCCUAAUCUAGCAUAUAAAACAAUGAAUAUAACAAGAUUGAAUACAUACCUCAUUGAUGUAGAAACUCUUCAUGAAGCUUAAGUGCCUAGUGCCCCAAGUGUGACACCUCAAAUGGUUCACACAACAUCAAUUUCCUUUGGAAUAACCUUGAUAGAAAUGUAGAACACUAUAAAUCGUUUAGCCCUCACACACAUACAUAGUGCCCGAUUUCUUGAGCCAUGGGAUUCUUUUAUAUGGUGGCUAUUAGGGUUACACCAUGUAACUCAUGAAUUUACCCUUUCCUUAUGGUCCAUGGAUUUUAACCUCCAUGCGGUAUCCAUGGGUCACCCCAUGGACUUAGUCCAACAUAAGGAAUCUUGGAUCACAAGCCCACAUAUAUAAGAAUGAGUGAUUUACACAAUCAAGCCAUAUAUUUAAUUAGUCUCCUUUUGAUCACUUAAUUAAUUCCAAAUUAAUUCUUGAUCAAUACUAAUUAAAUAACCUUAUUAAUAUAUUAGAACUUAUAAUAUAUUAACAAACCUUAGGUGUUAUUUCUCUCAUUAUAGUCUAUCCAAAUGCAUNUUUCUCUGAUUAUAGUCUAUCCAAAUGCAUAAUGCCAUGCAACCCAAAUGGACCAUGCCGGUCGGGUCAAGUCUUACCAAUUAUAGUUAUGGACUUAGACAUUAAUCCAACAUUUGUGGCGUAUGUGUUGGAUAUGAGGGUUGAUUCAGGCAGGCUGAGGUCAGCUGAUGAGGUUCCGAUGGUGCGUGAGUUCCCGGAUGUUUUCCUGGAGGAGUUGUCGGGCGUGUCUCCUGAAAGGCAGGUAGAGUUUCGUAUCGAUUUUGGUUCCGGGGGUGGCACCUAUCGCCAAGACGCCCUAUCGCCUUGCACCUCCAGAGAUGCAGGAAUUAUCCUCUCAGCUCCAGGAGCUGCUGGGGAAGGGAUUUAUUCGGCUGAGCAGUUCGCCGUGGGGAGCGCCUAUCCUCUUUGUCAAGAAAAAAGAUGGUUCACACCGGAUGUGCAUUGAUUACCGGGAGUUGAAUAGGUUGACGGUCAAGAACCGUUACCCAUUGCCGAGGAUCGACGAUUUGUUCGAUCAAUUGCAGGGAGCAUCUUGGUUCUCCAGGAUUGAUUUGAGGUCUGGAUAUCAUCAGAUGAGGAUGCGAGAUGAGGAUAUCCAGAACACAGCAUCCAAGACUCGUUACGGGCAUUACGAGUUCGUGGUGAUCCCUUCGGGGUCACCAACGCACCGACGGCGUUCAUGGAUCUCAUGAACAGAGUGUGUAGGCCGAUGUUGGACCGCUUGGUGAUCGUGUUCAUCGACGACAUAUUGGUGUAUUCGAAAUCCUGAAAGCAUCAUGAGGAGCACUUAAGGGAGAUCCUUAGAGUUCUGAGAUCGAGAGGCUUUACGCCAAAUUUUCCAAGUGUGAUUUUUGGUUACGGGAGGUCCAGUUCCUUGGGCACCUCGUUAACCAAAAUGGGAUAUUGGUCGAUCCGGCCAAGAUCGAGGCAGUGAUGAGUUGGGAGGUGCCGAGAUCCCCCACCGAGAUAAGGAGUUUCCUAGGGUUGGCUGGCUAUUAUAGGAGAUACAUCAGGGAUUUCUCCCAAAUCGUCGUGCCACUCACCAAGUUGACCCCGAAGGGUGUUGCUUUUUCAUGGGGCCCAGAGCAGUAGGCCUCCUUCGAGACACUUCAGCAGAGACUAUGCGAAGCCCCAGUGUUAGCCCUUCCGGAGGGGAUGGAGGACAUCGUAGUGUAUUGUGAUGCGUUGAUAUUAGGGUUGGGAGAGGUGCUUAUCCAGAGGGGUCAUGUGAUAGCAUACGCAUCGAGGCAGCUGAAGCCUCAUGAGAUGAGGUAUCCCGCACACGAUCUAGAGUUGGGGGCAGUGGUGUUAGCCCUGAAGAUCUGGCGUCACAAUCUGUAUGGGGUUCGGUGUACCAUAUACACGGACCACAAGAGCCUGAAGUAUUUGAUGGAUCAGCCAAACCUUAAUAUGCAGCAGAGGAGAUGGUUGGAUGUGGUGAAGAAUAACGAUUGUGAGAUCCUGUACCACUCGGGCAAGGCUAACAUUGUGGCCGAUGCCCUGAGUCGUAGGGCGGAGGGCGCCCCGAUGCAGGAUGUUUGUACAAGGCUGACAGUGAUGACCCCGAUGCAGGAUGUUUGUACAAGGCUGACAGUGAAACCCGUAAGAGGGAACAGUUUAUCGAGUAGGUAUCGGAGUUCGUCACCAAUAGCCGAGGGCUUAUGACCUUUCAGGGAUGGAUUUGGGUGCCGUUUGUGGGCGGAACGCGCACCAUUUUGAUGGAGGAGGUGCAUCAAUCGAGGUUCUCGAUCCAUCCUGGGGCCACUUAGAUGUAUUUAGACCUGAAGAGAGAAUAUUGGUGGCCCUAUAUGAAGAGGGAUGUCGCGUGGUUUGUAGAGAGAUGCUUGACCUGUCGCAGGGUUAAGGCCGAGCCCAGCGUCCACAUGGUAAACUGUAGCCAUUAGAGAUUUCCAAGUGGAAGUGGGAACAUAUUACCAUGGAUUUCAUCACCAAAUUGCCAAGGACUACGAGGGGUGUCAAUGUGAUUUGGGUGAUUUUGGACAGGUUGAUGAAGAGCGCUCACUUCCUUACUAUUAGUUAGAGCUCUUCUGCAGAAAGGCUGACAGAGUUGUACAUGAGGGAGGUGGUAUCGCAGCAUGCAGUACCGACCUCGAUUGUUUCAGAUCGAGAUGGACGUUUGACUUCCACGUUCUGGAAGAAAUUUCAUGAUGAAUUGGGCACAAGGCUGCAUUUUAAUACCGCAUACCACCCACAGACUGAUGGACAGAGCGAGCGGACGAUUCAGACGCUCGAGGACAUGCUUCGGGCAUGUGUAUUGGUCUUCGGAGGAAGUUGGGACACGUACUUACCCUUGGCUGAGUUUUCCUAUAACAACAACCAUCAUUCGAGCAUCGGUAUGCCACCCUUUGAGCUGUUGUAUGGGAGGAGGUGUCGGACCCCCAUUUGCUGGGGAGAGGUAGGGCAACGUGUGAUGGGUAGUACAAAGAUUGUGCUUCAGACGACCGAGCGGAUUCAGCAGGUCAGACUGAGGGUACUGACGGCCUAGAGUAGUCAGAAAAGUUAUGCGGAUAGACAGCGGUCAGAGCUCGAGUUCCAGGUUGGUGACUUCGUACUCCUGAAGGUAUCUCCUUGGAAACAGUGAUCCGGUUCAGGAAGAGGUGCAAGCUGGGCCCCGUUAUAUUGGUCCAUUCCGAGUGAUUGCAAGGGUAGGCCAGGUAGCCUACCGGUUUGAGAUACCUGCAGAGUUGGAUCAGAUUCAUGACACCUUCCACGUGUCUCAGCUGAGCAACUUCAUCGCUGAUGAGUCGGCAGUGUUUCCAUUAGAGGAAAUUCAGGUGGAUGCAAGCUUGAACUAUGUUGAGAUGCCGAUCGCGAUUCAAUAUAGAAGGAUCAAGACUUUGAGAAACAAGGAGGUGUCAUUGGUUCAGGUCCAGUGGCAACAUCGGAAGGGUUCCGAGAUGACCUGGGAGCCGGAGUUGGAGAUUCGUGAGCAGUAUCCAAAGUUAUUUGUAGAUAGAGACUUCGAGAGCAAAGUCUGAUCCUAGUGGGGGAGAAAUGUAACAUCCGGAUUUCCAGUUAUAUUAUUUAUUAAUUAUUUUUGGAUAUUUUGGGUAGGACUCGGUGAGUUGAUGCAUAGACUCGUCGAGUAGUGUCGCGAUCUUCCAUCCGGGUUAACGACCGGACUCGGCGAGUCGACUAGUAGACUCGGCGAGUCCAUGUUGUUUAAAGAAACCCUAAUUAUUGGGGUUUCAGACCUAUUUAAAGGCCCUUAUGGCCUUCAUUUGUGGCUACCAGUUGAUAGAGAGAAACCCCAGAGUGUGUGAACGUGUUGAGAGAGAAAGGAAGCCAUUAUUGAUCCUUGUGUGGGUGAUUUUGCAAGAAGAAGGUGAUGAAGGCAAGAGGAAACUGAAGAAGGUGCUAAUCUGUGGAUUUCAGAGCUUAGGGACUUCAUCUAGAGGUAUAUAUUCGUUUCCCUUUCAGUUUUGGUGUAAACUUUGAGAGUUAGGGUUUCUAGCCCCUUUUUGAGUAUGAUUUGUGAAUCAAUUGGUCCCUUCUUGUGUUAAGGUUGCGGAUCUGGAUCCAAAGAGAUCCAUAGAUCUAAGACCCUUGAUCUUUAUGGGGUGUCAUUGGGUUAUAUGAGUUUGGGAUGGCAUAUUGAGGCCAUUUCUUCAAAUAGAUCCAUUGGGCCUUUGCAUAGGCAUCAAGAUCCAAACUUUUCGUGUUUUUAUUGCUUUAGGAGGCCAGAUCUAUGAGUUAGAGGAACGGAUCUGACCUCAGGAGCUCAUUAGACCUCGAGCAUGGCAUGAACUCACCAAGUACCAACAGCAGAUUCAGGGAGUAGGGUUAGGGUUUCCCUAUAAGUUCACUCAGUGGGUACUUGCCGAGUUUGGGGAAUGACUCAGUGAGUUAGAAGGAAUUAGAGGAUUGGAGUUCAAGGUGGAACUCGCCGAGUUCAUAUUGGGACUCGGCGUGUUGAGUCGGGGUGGCCCCGCGAUUCAUGACAGGUGUAACCCGUCGAGCAGGGGAAAGAAUCGACAUGUCAUGCGGGACUAAAGGGAUAGUGGACACGCGUAGACUCGCCGAGUCACCCAGGUGCACUCGGCGAGUCUGGUCAAAAUCUGACCGUUGACCUUGUGGACUUUGAGCGUAUGGUCAACAAUGGGGUCUUUGUGUCAAGACAGGGUUGAGUCUACUCUAGAGAGUUAUAUUUAUGAGAGUAUUUUACUUUAUGUUAUUAGGCGGAGGCUAGACCAUAUUUCCAUCGAGUCGGAGAUUUACCAAGACAUCGGAGGUGAGUCUCCUCACUAUAAUUUACCUACAGUGGUAACAGAGUUAUGUGUUAGUGUACUGUUGAGUGAUGUACCAGUGUAUCUGUAUGCUAUUUAUGUGUUAUUGUGAUAUGUGAUAUGCAAGAUUCAGAGCUUCCAGAGAUAGGACCAAUUGGUCCAUAGAGUUAGGGCUAGAGAGCCCAUAGAGAGUUGGGACUGGAGGGUCCCACUGAGACACACUGACCAGAGGGUCAGCAGAGCUAUAGUCUUGAGUGCCUAAUAUAUGUGUUAGAGUGGUAUUUUGAGGAACUCACUAAGCUUUAUGCUUACAGUGUUAUGUGUUAUGUGUUUCAGGUACCAGUGAUGAUCGCGGGAAGGCGCCGACAUGAUUCGUACACACACAUGGGAUUUUAUGUAUUUUGAUCUUGGGAAAUGUUUUGUGGAACAAAGAUAUGAUACAAUGAGAUUUUAUUAAUAAAUGUGUUUGAAAAAUGUGUUUUGAAAAUGUGAAAAAUUGGUUGAAUUUUUACGGUGUUACACGCACGCUGAUUCGAAUGCUACCAAACUCCGUGAAUCCGUUGACUCUCUUUCAAAGACUCUACAGGAAGAACAACAUAAUUUUGCUGAUGUUCGUUCCUCCAUCCAAGCCGAAAAUACUUCCCUUAUAAGUUCAGUUUCCUCUCGGCUGGACUCACUUCAUGCUGAAAUUGCCAAAGAGAGUGCUUUAAAAGAAGAAAUUGCUCGGCAAGCGUCUUCCAUUGAAGUUCAAAAAGUUCAACUGGCUCAAGCUGUGAAGGAGAUCACCUUAUUAAAAACCGAGAAAGUUGUCUUACGAAGUUGUGCAAGUGAUGUCGCGGACACGUUGACCAAUCUCCUUGGUGCUCAUGAUCCAAUUCUAACUAUCACCAUCCAGAAUCAUCUUGCUGGAAAAUUGCUUCCUGCCCUUGCCAUGCUUCAUGAGAUGAAAGGUGUUUCGGAGCCUUUCAUUAGUCCAAAACAAGGGGGAUAGGGUGACCAACAUAAACUGAUGAUAUCAACUUAAACUCUUAAACCGGAUAUUCCAGUCUCUAAAGAACUGAAGGUUAAUGUAGCUUCAGGUUUUUGUCCAACGGAUAAGCAGAAAAGCGUUGUCAAUGAUAGUGAUAGUGAUGCAGAAAAGACUAUUAUUGAAGCCCUCAAACGCAAGAAAAGAAAUAAAGACUUAGAUGACAAUUUGAAAGUAACAAAAUGUGACAACCCGAAACUCCCAUUCUGUACAAACUAUAUCACUUCAAUAGAAGUUAUAGCAGUCACAAAUAAUUUUCAGACUUUUUCAUGUAAGUUUGAGUAAUUCAGGGUUUACACUUCAGCAGAUAUCAGGAGAGUGGAUGCAAUAGGGUUUAGUGGAACUCUAUUAUUCCAUCACUCUAUUAUAUUAGAAGUCAUUUCAGGAAUAAAAAUAUUUUCCGCCAAAAUAUCUCAGGACUACAAAUAGAUUUCUGAAACAAAUUCAUUCAUUAUUCACAUUUCCAUCUAGAGAAAAGCCAUUUUCUCUCUCACGGAUCUUCGGGUUUUUAUACCAAAACGUGAGUAACUCUUUCUAGUAGUGUUAGAAAGCUUAUUAUGUGAUUAUAACAUGAUUUAGAUGGCUAAACCAUUUGAUUUAGGAGUUUACUCCCAAAGGUGUUCUUGGGCGGUAAACUCCCGAAACCGAGCCUAGAUUGUUCCUUGUGUUAAGCUACUGCCUUAGGACCAUUUGUAUGUGUAUUAAGGACAAGAAAACAAUCAAGAAACACAAACACAUGGGAGUUCACGGCGCAAGUGUAUAUUAGGCCGUAAACUCCAUUAAAAUGGAUCAAAGGGUGCUUUUAAGACACCUAAAGCCCGAGACCUUUACAUGGAAUUGUUUCCCACUUAAUUGAAGGACAAAGCCACAUCAAAAUCACCUCUUGAAGUGAGUUUACGGCCUUGGUAAUGCUCCUAGGCUGUAAACACCAAACAAGGGCACCAAAGUGUGCCUAGGGUCCUCAUUAGCUUUAAACAAAUGCCUAGAAAUUAUCCCACUUGUGCAUGAGGCUUGAAAACAACAAAAACAACACCGCAAGGGAGUUUACAACUGUAAACUCCAAGCGAAAUGGCCUUGGGGCCGUAAACUCCUAAAUGGAGUGUUUCUAUGACUUGAACCCUUUCAAGAAUUGAACCACCAAGUUGGAAUAAUUCUAGGAAUCAUUUGGAACUUCAAAACACACCAUACCCCCAUGGUUGGGAGUUUACGGCCGUAAACUCAAUUUUUUACAACCGUAAACUCCAUGUGUGAUGAUAUAUGGGGAGUAAACUCAUAUAUAGGGUCUUUUGGAACCCUAAACACAAGUGCCUUGUCCCACAAUAGCAUAGAUGCAAUCCUUAGGGCUUAAAACACUUAUAUAAAGUGUUUAUUGUGUCUAGGAUGUCUUAACAUUAUCAAUUAGUGAUUUAAGACUAAUUGAAUGCAUAUAUGUGUGCUUAUAUGUUCAUUAGGAUCGUAGUGUGUGUACAAGUCCUCGCUUGACACCUAGCAAUCCUAUACCGUUCAGUUCAUCCCAAUCACCAUCUACAGGUGAGUUCAUACCCCUAAUCAAUGUUUUAAAUGAUUUUAAAUGUUUUAUGGGGGGGAAUACAAGUAGAAAACAGCAUGUUAUUAAAUCAUCUAUAUGUAUUUUAUAACUGUGUUUUCAUUCAAACAGAAUUUCACAUACUACAAAAUGUGAUGCAUGAAAUGGUUUUGUAAUUUAAAAUAACUUGUUACCAAACGUUUUACAUUUAAAAUGUUUAUCAAAAUGGCACCAAGUCACAUUUAGUUUGUUCAAAACCUGAGAUAUCUUACAAAACAAAUUUACAUUCUUGAACUAAACUAUGCAUAUACACUUAUAUUUAUAUAUAUGUAUUGAUGUUAUAGUUUACACCAUUCAUUUAGUUUCCAACACUCUUGAGUUGAAAGAGUGUAUAAACUUAUUUGAACAACCAAUUACCUUUUAAUGAACUAUCAUAGGGAUAGUUAGAGGAUAACAAAACAUUAUUCCUAUUACAAGGAAUCACACAAGAAUCAGUUCAUCCAUGAGUCCAUACCAGUACAUUACCUGAUACAUGAGUACAUUUACAUAUGAUUACAUGACACAUGAGUACGUUUACAUAUGCUUACCUGAUUCAUGAACAUACUUACAUGAAUACCAUACAGGAACACUGUUACAUAGGUACAUUAUCCUGUAUUCACCUACCUGGAUACUUGUACUUGGAACUACGAGGAUGAUUUAUUAGUACUUUCUGUGUAAAUUAUCUUUCCUAUCCCAGUUCAAUGGGAUAUCUCGGCGGGCCUUACCAUUCCGAACCCCAAUGAUUAGCACCAAUGGUCGAUGACCAUCUACGGAGGUCUAAGGUUACUAUUUAUAUUAGGAAGAUUGAUAACCGGGGCUAACCCCUCCACUCACCUGCUGCUGCUACAGAGGACAAGUGGACAAUCUUCGAUUGUUCAUAAGGUUAUACUUUUCGCUUAUUGCGAUGUUGUGUUACUCCUAGUACCCAGCGAUGACACUUACAUUAUUACUUUCCUGGACAAUCUUCGGAUGUUCAUUAGGUUUCAUUUUUCGCUUAAUGCGAUGUUGUGUUAGUCCUAGUACCCAGUGAAAACACUUAUAGUAGUACAUUUACCUGUUUACUUUAUUUUGUGAUACUUUCACACAAACGACGAGUUACACUAAGUACUUUAGUACUAGUCAGAAGAAGGAAAAACUAUCAUUUUACUUACAAAACAUUCGGGUCUUGGUAGAAGACUACAUCUCACACUAAUAGAAAAUAAGGGAUUUUUUAGGGUUUUCAUACUUACAUAAACAUUUUCAUUUAAAGGUUUACAUGGCCUUCAUAACAGAUUUUCAUAAGCAAGACUAUGACACUUAAAUUCUUAUGAAUUCACUAGCUUUAAAGUAGAUAGUCUCUUUCAAAAUAACUUGUAUUCUCAGGUCAUCAGUAGACAGGUACGGAAGCCAGUUUUUAAGAAGACGGAGCAGACAAAUCUCGUCUUUUAUUUUGAUUGUAUAUUUUUGGUGUCUCAUUACAAUGAAGAACACAAAUGUAUUAAAACUUUACUUAUAAUGCAAUGUAUGAUGUUGUUGCUUGUUUAUUAUAUUACACUGUUGUGAUACUGUACAUGACGUCCUCCACCCCUAAACGUUUCUGCCGUUCGUGGUUUUGGGGUGUGACAGAUUGGUAUUAGAGCAUUGUUUAUAGUGAAUAUAGUAUAUCAAUCCAUAAAAGAUAUACUAACUAUAAUUACAUGGGGAUUAAAACACUUUGUCUAAGAGUUAUACUUUUAAAUAAUAAAAUAUUUAAGUAAGUAUACGUGCCUGCGUUCAUACUAAAAUCAGUGUCACAAUGACAAGAACAAAAGUAUUGCGAUUGUUGAAUAUCACAAGUAAGCCUGGGGAUAUAUGGUCAGUCUUGGGAAUGGCAUAGCCUGAUCAACUAUGCUGGUCCGAGGAGUGAUUAGCAUAUGCCCAAGAAUGGUUGUGAUGUGGCAACAAGUCUAAAAACUUACCAACACAACCAUAAAGAAAUACCAUAGGGGUAUUUGGUCUUACUGUAAUUAUCUUAGUUAGUUCGUCUAUUUAGCUAUUUCUUAUAUCCCUUUUCUCGCGUAGAUUUUAAUGGCUGGAUUUCACCACGGUGAUCCGUACUUCCCGAACCACGAAAAUGCUGGUUGGCUAGAGGCAGAACCAGAAGAUGAUUACCCAAUCCGUUUGGAUUAUCACCAUGCUGAAGGUUUUUCUGAUAGUUCUAACUCAAAGCCAGAAGUCAACAACCUACCCCCAAAUACUCAAAACCCAAACCUGAAGCCCCGUCCCACAUGUCAAGGACCCACACCUCUGUGGGCCACUAACUUGAAUACAUAGAGUCAUGAAUAGGGUCAGCACAUUCCCUACAAUGGAGACCAAAGUUUCUACAACCUCAAUGAAGGAGGUUCUGUUGAUAGAGUCCUACCAAUCAUAGUGCAUAGGAUUUCUCGGAACACGAUAAUGGCUCAGGCGACUAUCAAUCAAGUUUUGGAAAUUGACGCCAACUCUAGUGCUAACACUGUCCACAUUCGCCAACUAGAGUCUGCUCAUGAAAGGACUCUGGUCCGCAAUGCAAAUCUGCAGAUGGAACUUGCUGAAACUCGAGCUGAAGUUAGGGAACUUCGAGCUCAGCAAGUGAAAGCUGACAGGCGUAUGAGGGACAUCGAACGUCUACUGUCGGGAUCGAGAACUCAUGCAAGCAGUUCUCAUCGCCGAUAGGAUAUCGUCGACUCAUCUUUUGGAUAUAACCUAGUUUAUGUAAAACUUUGGUCUAAUUUCCUGUCUUUAUAAAUCUUAGACCUGUUAGGUCUUGAUCUAGUCUUCAUUCUGUCAAAAUUUUCCAUCUUGGUUGAUGUAAGGCCUACUUCUAGGCCAUUUUCCCGAACAUGUUACAUCUGUAAUUCUAGUAUUAUUGACAGAUAUCUAAUCUUAUUGAAAUUAUUAUCCAAAUGCUGUCAUUUUCAUUUGGUCAUUCUAUUCAUUCUGUUGUUGGACUAUGGAGAGUUAGUCCAUGAGACACAUUCAUUAAUCAUUUAUUCUUAUCCAUGUCGUCAUCUUUUAAACGUUUAGUUAAAGAUGCCGCCACGCAGGAAUCCCAGACGUAUCCCAAACAACAAAACACCGAUACCACCACCUCUACCACCACCUGUACCUGUUCAACCACCUAAUCCUUUUGAUGCCAACAUGUUCCAGGUAGCUUUCACAGCAGCAGUUGUAGCUGCUAUGUCAGCAAUCAAUGCUCCUGUCCCUAGUGGAUCAGGAACAGGUGCACCUCCCUCGAACCACGGCGAAAGCCAUGAACACCCUCGGGAGUGCACCUACAAGGAUUUCACGAAUGCCAAACCCCACAGCUUUAAUGGAACUGGGGGUGUUAUGGUGUUAAGGCAGUGGAUCGAGAAGAUGGAAUCUAUCUUCGAGAUCUGCGGAUGCCAAGAAGGCAACAAGGUCAAGUUCGUAGCUUGUACCUUCUCUGACAGAGCAUUAACAUGGUGGAACGGCCAUGUUAACUAUCCGACUUUGGUGGUGGCAUAUUCCAUCAGCUGGGAAAAGUUGAAAGACAUGCUGAUGAAAGAGUACUGCCCUCGUGGCGAAGUACAAAAACUCGAACAGGAGUUUUGGGGUCUGCAAAUGGUUGGAUCUGACAUCACGACCUACACUAACAGGUUCUGUGAUCUGGCAAACUUAUGCCCUAAUAUGGUUGCUCUCGAGAGCAAGAAGAUAGAGAGGUAUAUCUGGGGACUAUCGCCCCAGAUCCAGUCAAGUGUGCUAGCCUCCAGGCCUAUCACUUUUGAUAGUGCCAAGGAACUGGCACAAUCUCUCAUAGAUCACCGAAAACCUCAGAACCCAACAAUCGCUACAACCGUACCACAAAAGUCCAACCCCGACCCCAACAACAAGAAGGGGUGGAAUAAGAGGAAAAGAGGGGCUUCACAAGGAUCCUCCAAUAAACAACAACUUGUGGCGAUCAAUGUUGCCACAGUGACUCCUGUUGUCCCUACGAACCCCUUACCAGCAAAAACUUAUGCUGGGUCUCUCCCGAAGUGCAACAAAUGCAGCUUCCACCACCGCGAACCUUGCAGGGAGAUGCAAUGCACCAACUGCAACAGGAAGGGGCACACAGCCCGUUUCUGCCAAACUCCAAUAGCUCAGGCUGCCCAGGUUCCUACUGCCGGUAUGGGCCAAGCCUGCUACGGUUGUGGUGAAGUGGGCCACUACAAGAGAAACUGCCCUAAAGCGGGGAUGGCUGGAGGAGUAGGAAGAGUUAUGGCCCUAGGCCACGAGGAAGCAGUAGCUGAUCCUACGAUAGUUACUGGUACGUUUCUCCUCGAUAACUCAUAUGCUUGCAUACUUUUCGAUACUGGAGCAGAGAAAAGUUUCGUAAGCCACAAAUUUGCACACCUGCUUAAUCAAAAACCGCGUGCAUUAGAUCAUUCAAUCACAGUAGAAAUGGCGAACAGGAAAACGGAGAGUACUAACUGCUUAUACGUACGUUGUACCCUAACUUUAGAUGGCCAUACUUUCAAGAUGGAUCUCAUGCCAGUCCCAAUUAAAUGUUUCGACUUUAUCAUCGGCAUGGAUUGGUUGACUCUUCUUCGUGCCGACAUCAUGUGCUUUGAAAAAUCAGUUCGCCUUAACCUUCCUAACAACGAAACCUUAAUUAUCUACGGCGACAAACCUAGUACGAGCCUUCGCAUCAUUUCGUGCAUUCAAGCCCAGAAGUGCUUGCGAAAGGAACAUCAUGCAUUCCUAGCACUCGUCGUCGAUACCAGUCAAGAACUAAAAGACAUCCAGAACAUCCCAGAAGUAUGCGACUUUCCCGACAUAUUCCCAGAAGAACUUCCCGGUCUACCACCGCAACGCCAAGUCGAGUUCAGAAUCGACUUAGUGCCAAGAGCUACCCCAGUAGCCAAAUCUCCUUAUCGUCUGGCACCGGCCGAGAUGCAGGAACUUUCUAGUCAACUUAACAAACUUCUCAAGAAGGGAUUCAUUUGACCAAGCUUAUCACCAUGGGGAGCACCGGUCUUGUUCGUCAAGAAGAAAGAUGGAUCGUUUUGCAUGUGCAUCGAUUAUAGAGAACUCAACAAACUUACCAUUAAAAAUCGUUAUCCCUUUCCCCGUAUUGACGAUUUGUUUGAUCAACUUCAAGGAGCCAACUACUUCUCGAAGAUAUAUCUGCAAUCCGAAUAUCACCAACUACGAGUGUUAGUGGAGGAUGUACCCAAGACAGCCUUCCGAACUCGUUAUGGGUACUACAAGUUCUUAGUGAUGCCGUUCGGAUUAACUAACGCGCCCGCAGUAUUCAUGGAUCUGAUGAAUAGGGUGUGUCGUCCUUACUUGGAUCAGUUCGUCAUCAUCUUCAUUGAUGACAUACUCAUCUACUCUCGAAGAAAGGAAGAACAUAGUCAACAUCUCCAUAAAAUCUUAGAAACAUUGCGAUCGGAGAAGCUCUAUGCGAAGUUGUCAAAGUGAGAAUUUUGGAUUCGGCGAGUCGAAUUUUUGGGCAUGUUGUUAGUGAAGAGGGAAUACACGUGGACCCCUUCAAGAUCAAAGCCAUUGAGAACUGGUCAGCACCGAAGACACCUACUGAAAUUCAUCAAUUUCUAGGUCUCGCUGGCUACUAUCGCAGGUUCAUUCAGAACUUCUCCAGCAUAGCGAAACCUCUUACAACCCUGACCCAGAAAGGCGUGGCCUUUGACUGGGAAGAGAAACAGGAAAGAGCGUUCCAAACGCUCAAACGAGCCUUGUGCACCGCCCCGAUACUAUCCCUCCCCGAAGGGAUAGAAGACAUCAUUGUCUAUUGCGAUGCAGCCAAUCAAGGACUCGGAUGUGUUCUGAUGCAGCGAGGUAAAGUCAUCGCCUAUGCCUCAAGACAGCUGAAGACACAUGAGGUUAACUACACAACCCAUGAUCUUCAACUAGGAGCAGUUGUGUUUGCUCUGAAGAUCUGGAGACAUUACCUAUAUGGUACAAAAAGUACAAUCAUUACAGACCAUAAGAGUCUACAACACAUUUUCGACCAGAAGGAGCUCAACAUGAGACAACAACGGUGGGUCGAGCUACUCAGCGAUUACGAAUGCAAAAUUCGUUAUCAUCUGGGUAAAGCCAAUGUAGUAGCCGAAGCCCUAAGUCGGAAGGAAUAUUCUGGUCGUAGGUUCAAAUCUUUGACUCUAACUAUCCAUUCACACUUGUCCACGCAAAUUAAGGAGGCUCAGCUCAAUGCUUUGAAACCUGAAAACGUGGCUGGUGAAUCCCUUAUAGGAAUGGAUAAGAACUUAGAAGUCAAGGGUGGCAGAGCAUUGUACCUCAUGGAUCGGAUCUAGACACCAAAACACGGUGGCUUUAGAGACUUGGUCAUGACCGAAGCUCACAACACUCGUUAUUCCGUCCACCUGGGUUCAGAUAAGAUGUAUCUGGAUCUUAAAAAGUUAUACUGGUGGCCUAACAUGAAAGCAGAUAUUGCUACCUUCGUGAGUAAAUGCCUUACUUGCGCAAAGGUCAAGGUCGAAUACCAGAAACCCUCCGGUCUUCUACAACAACCGGAGAUACCGGAAUGGAAGUGGGAGCGGAUCACUAUGGACUUCAUAACCAAGUUGCCCAAGACGACGGGUGGACUUGAUUCCAUAUGGGUCAUCGUCGAUAGACUGACCAAGUCUGCACACUUCCUGCCGAUCAAAGAAACAGACAAGAUGGAGAAACUUACCAGAACUUACAUUAGGGAGAUUGUAAGGCUGCAUGGUAUUCCUUUAUCUAUCAUCUCAGACAAAGAUAGUAGAUUCACUUCAAGGUUCUGGCAGUCAUUACAAAAUUCCCUAGGAACUAGGUUAGACAUGAGUACGGCCUACCAUCCACAGACCGACGGGCAAAGUGAGAGAACUAUCCAAACCUUAGAAGAUAUGUUGCAUGCCUGUGUGAUUGACUUUGGAAAAGCUUGGAAUACCCAUUUACCCCUUGUCGAAUUUUCCUACAACAACAUUUAUCACACGAGCAUAAGGGCAGCUCCAUUCGAGGCCCUCUAUGGCCGAAAGUGCAGAUCCCCUCUGUGUUGGGCUGAAGUGGGUGAUACCCAGUUAGCGAAGGGACGAGUUCCCAAAAGCACUCUCACGGGUCCGGAAAUCAUUCGGGAAACGACAGAGAAGAUCGUUCAAAUUUUUGAACGGUUGAUAGCCUCUAGAGACCGACAGAAGAGCUACACUGACAAGCGUAGGAAACCAUUGGAAUUCCAGGUGGGCGACCGAGUCCUACUGAAGGUCUCACCCUGGAAGGGCUUGAUAUUCUUUCGAAAGCGUGGGAAGCUCAAUCCAAGAUACAUAGGGCCUUUCGAGAUUCUUGCGAGAAUCGGCCCUGUAGCUUACAAACUUAACCUACCGCACGAACUCAGUAACGUACAUCCUAUCUUCCACGUCUCGAACUUGAAAAAGUGUCUGUCCGACGAGACUCUUGUUAUUCCACUCGACGAGAUCGAGAUCAACGAGAGCCUUAACUUCGUGGAGGAACCAGUAGAGAUCAUGGACCGAGAGGUCAAGCAAAAAAAGCAGAGCCGUAUCCCGAUAGUGAAGGUUCGCUGGAAUGCAAAGCGUGGACCUGAAUUCACUUAGGAACGAGAGGAUCAGAUGAAACUUAAAUACCCUCAUCUUUUCCCUUAGUUAUUUGUAACUUCUUAAUUGCUUAAAUUCUAAUUUCGGGACGAAAUUCCUUCUAACGGGGGGAUGAUGUGACAACCCGAAAUUCCCAUUCUGUACAAACUAUAUCACUUCAAUAAAAGUUAUAGCAGUCACAAAUAAUUUUCAGACUAUUUUGAGUAAGUUUGAGUAAUUCAGGGUUUACACUUCUGGAGAUUUCAGGAAUAAAAAUAUUUUCGGCCAAAAUAUCUUAGGACUAUAAAUAGAUUUCUGAAACAAAUUCAUUCAUUAUUCAAAUUUCCAACUAGAGAAAAGCCAUUUUCUCUCUCACGGAUCUUCGGGUUUUUAUACCAAAACGUGAGUAACUCUUUCUAGUAGUGUUAGAAAUCUUAUUAUGUGAUUAUAACAUGAUUUAGAUGGCUAAAUCAUUUGAUUUAGGAGUUUACUCCCCAAGGUGUUCUUGGGCGGUAAACUCCCGAAACCGAGCCUAGAUUGUUCCUUGUGUUAAGCUGCUGCCUUAGGCCCAUUUGUAUGUGUAUUAAGGACAAGAAAACAAUCAAGAAACACAAACACAUGGGAGUUCACGGCCCAAGUGUAUCUUAGGCCGUAAACUCCAUUAAAAAGGACCAAAGGGUGCUUUUAAGACAUCUAAAGCCCUAGACCUUUACAUGGAAUUGUUUCCCACUUAAUUGAAGGACAAAGCCACAUCAAAAUCACCUCUUGAAGUGAGUUUACAGCCUUGGUAAUGCUCCUAGGCCAUAAACACCAAACAAGGGAACCAAAGUGUGCCUACGGUCCUCAUUCGCUUUAAACAAAUGCCUAGAAAUUAUAUCACUUGUGCAUGAGGCUUGAAAACAACAAAAACAACACCCCAAGGGAGUUUACAACCGUAAACUCCAAGGGAAAUGGCCUUGUGGCCGUAAACUCCUAAAUGGAGUGUUUCUAUGCCUUAAACCCUUUCAAGAAUUGAACCACCAAGUUGGAAUAAUUCUAGGAAUCAUUUGGAACUUCAAAACACACCAUACCCCCAUGGUUGGGUGUUUACGGCCGUAACCUCAAGAGUUUACAACCGUAAACUCCAUGUGUGAUGAUAUAUGGGGAGUAAAAUCAUAUAUAGGGUCUUUUGGAACCCUAAACACAAGUGCCUUGUCCCACAAUAGCUUAGAUGCAAUCCUUAGGGCUUAAAACACUUAUAUAAAGUGUUUAUUCUGUCUAGGAUGUCUUAACAUUAUCAAUUAGUGAUUUAAGACUAAUUGAAUGCAUAUAUGUGUGCUUAUAUGUUCAUUAGGAUCGUAGUGUGUACAAGUCCUCGCUUGACACCUAGCAAUCCUAUACCGUUCAGUUCAUCCCAAUCACCAUCUAUAGGUGAGUUCAUACCCCUAAUCAAUGUUUUAAAUGAUUUUAAANGGGGGGGAAUACAAGUAGAAAACAACAUGCUAUUAAAUCAUCUAUAUGUAUUUUAUAAUUGUGUUUUCAUUCAAACAUAAUUUCACAUACUACAAAAUGUGAUGCAUGAAAUGGUUUUGUAAUUUAAAAUACCCAAUGUUUUACAUUUAAAAUGUUUAUCAAAAUGGUACCAAGUCACAUUUAGUUUGUUCAAAAUCAGAGAUAUCUUACAAAACAAAUUUACAUUCUUGAACUAAACUAUGCAUAUACACUUAUAUUUAUAUACAUGUAUUGAUGUUAUAGUUUACACCAUUCAUUUAGUUUCCAACACUCUUGAGUUGCAAGAGUGUAUAAACUUACUUGAACAACCAAUUACCUUUCAAUGAACUAUCAUAGGGAAAGUUAGAGGAUAACAAAACAUUAUUCCUAUUACAAGGAAUCACACAAGAGUCAAUUUAUUCAUGAGUCCAUACCAGUACAUUACCUGAUACAUGAGUACAUUUACAUAUGAUUACAUGAUACAUGAGUACGUUUACAUAUGCUUACCUGAUACAUGGACACACUUACAUGAAUACCAUACAGGAACACUGUUACAUAGGUACAUUAUCCUGUAUUGACUUACUUGGAUAAUUGUACUUAGAACUACGAGGAUGAUUUAUUAGUACUUUCUGUGUAAAUUAUCUUUCCUAUCCCGGUUGAAUGGGAUUUCUCGGCGGUACUUACCAUUCCGAACCCCACUGAUUAGCACCAGUGGUCGAUGACCAUCUACGGAGGUCUAAGGUUACUAUUUAUAUUAGGAAGAUCGAUAACCGGGGCUAACCCCUCCACCCACCUGCUGCUGCUACAGAGGACAAGUGGACAAUCUUCGAUUGUUCAUAAGGUUAUACUUUUCGCUUAUUGCGAUGUUGUGUUACUCCUAGUACCCAUCGAUGACACUUACAUUAUUACUUUCCUGGACAAUCUUCGGAUGUUCAUUAGGUUCCAACUUUCGCUUAAUGCGAUAUUGUGUUAGUCCUAGUACCCAGUGACAACACUUACAGUAGUACAUUUUCCUGUUUACUUUACUUUGUGAUACUUUCACAUAAACGACGAGUUAGACUAAGUACUUUAGUACUAGUCAGAAGAAGGAAAAAAUAUCAUUGUACUUACAAAACAUUCGGGUCUUGGUAGAAGACUACAUCCCAUACUGAUAGAAAAUAAGGGAUUUUCUAGGGUUUUCAUACUUACAUUAACAUUUUCAUUUAAAGGUUUACAUGGCCUUCAUAACAGAUUUUCAUAAGCAAGACUAUCACACUUAAAUUCUUAUGAAUUCACCAGCUUUAAAGCUGAUACUCUCUUUCAAAAUAACUUGUAUUCUCAGGUCAUCAGUAGACUAGUACGGAGGCCAGUUUUUGAGAAUACAGAGCAGACAAGUCUCGUCUUUUAUUUUGAUUUUAUAUUUUUGGUGUCUCAUUACAAUGAAGAACACACAUGUAUUAAAACUUUACUUAUAAUGCAAUGGAUGAUGUUGUUGCUUGUUUAUUAUAUUACACUGUUGUGAUACUGUACAUGACGUCCUCCACCCCUGAACGUUUCCGCCGUUUGUGGUUUUGGGGUGUGACACAAAAGAUGUAGAGGAAACAGAGAGGCAUAACAAAGAAGAAGAAGAUAUACUGAAGUGUAAGAAGGCUCUGUUUCCUGAGGGGACUAGAGAGGUGCUAAUUAGUCAAGAAAUAGAAUCACCAAGUGUGUAUUGGUUAGAACCGAUUGCUUCUUUUGACUGUGAUAAUUUAAAGGACUCACAGUUCGAUAUGCCAAUUACAAGGAAAGCAUUUACCUUCCAUUGUUUUGAGUCAAUUGUUGAGGUUCCUUUUCCCAGUCCUAAGGGUGACCGAGAGCUUAUCGACUUUUAUCUAAAGUAUGGCCAACCUCAAUACUUGACAUGGAGUGCUCAGAAAAUUAUAACAGUCAAGGUAUUGAAACCGACACCGGUUGGAAAGUUUAUGAACAUGCACUUCAAGAUUACUUGAGGGUCUGCAAAUUCGGUGUCAAUGAUUUCUUUAGCAGAUAUACCCAAUCUCAAUCCUCAUGAUUGGAUAUCAUUGUACAACAUUCUGCUCUCAGAUCCGAAGGAGUAUAAGCCGAUUCUAGAGCACUUGAAAAUAAUGUUAGCCUCCUACAUAUAUGAAGUUGAAACAAUGGGUCAGGAGAUAGCGAAAGUGAUGAACAAGAAGUCGGCGGUCAAGCCCACUCAAAAGCCACGAGAUGUGAACACUAUGAAGAUAAGGCAAAUUGAUUCGACACAUCUGACUAUGAUGUUUACUAAAGGAGAAGCUCAUAGGUUUUUGUUUCCUCUGGUAGAUAAGCAUCUAUUUUCUACAGAUUGCUUGGAGCACAUUAUCAUCUUGAUACCUCGGUGCAAGCAGAACUCGCAUGCUGACAAGAAAAAUUUCACUGAUAUGCUUCGUUGGUACAUUACCUUUCGGUACCAUCUUUUGGCUAUCAUCCCGAGGAUAGUCAAGAUGGUGAAGAAGUCUUCGGUUGUUAAACAGAGUUAAAGUCUCGGUCCCAAAGACGAAAAGGGGGAAAUUGUUAGGGCUUAUUGUGUUGUGUCUUGGGCUUUUUGUUUUGUAUCCGGAUUGGGCCUGUCCAUCCGUGAUUAUCUUGUAGAGUUAGACUAUAUAUAUGCAUGCAUGUGUGCAUUAUAGAAGAACAUUAAUUACAUUUUGAGUAUUGUAACCCUAAAACACCUCUAUAGUUGAAGUUCUUAGUCGAGCUCUUCUGAUGUGUUGAAGCAUUAAUCAUUCAACAUAUUCAAACCAUAUUUGUGUCUAUAUUUACGUACUUAUUUGUUUGCAUGCAUAGAAUCAAUCGAUCUUGAAAGAACUACGUUCUAACACUUACGGUAUACGGCGAGGGUACCUGUUCCGAGUCAGCGUUUUGUUCGGAAGCUAGAGCGAGGCAGAGUCUAUAGCAGGGCUAUAGUGGGUUUAUGGCUUAUGUGAUGGACACACGAGUGGCCGCAGGGAGGCCGAAUUUGGUUGGUUAUGUGCCAACAGUGAGGGAGAUCUGGGACGUUUUUCCCGAGAGGCAGGUAGAGUUUCGUAUUGAUUUAGUUCUGGGAGCGGCGCCUAUUGCCAAGGCACCCUAUCACCAUGCGCCACCAGAGAUGAAGGGGUUAUCCUCACAGCUUCAGAAGCUGUUGGGGAAGGGGUUUAUUCCACCGAGUAGCUUGCCGUGGGGAGCGCCAAUCCUUUUUUCAUGAAAAAGGAUGGUUCACACCGGAUGUGCAUUGAUUAUCGGGAGUUGAACAAGUUGACGGUCAAGAACCCUUAUCCCUUACCGAGGAUCGAUGAUCUGUUCGAUCAGUUGCUGGGAGCGUCUUGGUACUACAAGAUUGAUUUGAGGUCUGGAUAUCAUCAGAUGAGGGUGCCGGAUGAGGAUAUGCAGACGAUGGCUUUCAGGACUCGUUAUGGGCAUUACAAGUUCGUCGUGUAGCCUUUUGGGCUCACCAAUGCACCGACAGCGUUCACGGAUCUCAUGAACCGGGUGUGCAGGCCGAUGUUGGAACGUUCGAUGAUCGUGUUCAUUGACGAUAUAUUGGUGUACUCGAGAUCUAGAGGGCAGCAUGAGGAGCAUUUAAGAGAGAUUCUUAGAGUUUUGAGAUCGGAGAGGCUUUACGCCAAAUUCUCCAAGUGUGAUUUCUGGUUACGAGAUGUCUAGUUCUUGGGGCAUCUUGUUAAUCAGAAUGGGAUAUUGGUCGACCCGGCCAAGAUUGAGGCGGUGAUGAAUUAGGAGGUGCUGAGAUCCCCUACCGAGAUUAGGAGUUUUCUGGGGUUGGCCGGCUAUUAUCGGAGAUUUAUCAAGGAUUUCUCCAAGAUUGUCGUUCCUCUCACCAGUUUGAUCUGGAAGGGCGUGAAUUUCAGAUGGGGUCCAGAGCAGUAGGUCUCAUUUGAGACUCUUCGCUAGAGAUUAUGUGAGGCCCUUCUGGAGGGGAUGGAGGAUUUUGUGGUAUAUUGUGACCCAUCGAUAUUGGGUUUGGGUGCGGUGCUUAUGCAGAGACGGCAUGUGAUAGCAUAUGCAUCGAGGCAGUUGAAGCCUUACAAGGUGAGAUAUCCCUCCCACGAUUUGGAGUUGGGGGCCGUGGUGUUCGCCUUCAAAAUCCGACGUCACUAUUUGUAUGGGGUUCAGUGUACCAUCUAUACCGACCACAAGAGCUUGAAUUUUUUGAUUGAUCGGCCCAACCUAAAUAUGUGCCAGAGGAGAUGGUUAGAUGUGGUAAAGGAUUAUGAUUGUAAGAUCUUGUACCACCUGGGCAAGGCUAACGUAGUAGCCGAUGCCCUGAGUCGUAAGGCGGAGAGUGCCCCGAUACGAGAUAUUUGUAUGAGGUUGACGGCUAUGACUCCGGUGUUGGAUAUCAUUCGAGGGGCCAAGGCAGAGGCUGUGAGACUGGAGAACCGCAAGAGAGAGCAGGUGAUUGGGCAGAUAUCUGAGUUCGUUACCGAUAGCCAAGGCUUAUGACCUUUCAGGAUUGGAUUUGGGUGUCGUUCGUCGAUGGGGCACGUACCAUAUUGAUGGAGGAGGCGCAUAGAUCGAGGUUCUGGAUCCAUCCCGAGGCCACUAAGAUGUAUUUGGAUCUGAAUAGAGACUAUUGGUGGCCUUGUUUGAAGAGGGAUAUUGCUUGGUUCAUCGAGAGGUGCUUAAACUGUCGCAGGGUUAAGGUCAAGCACCUGCGUCCACAUUGCAAGUUGCAGCCACUUGAUAUUUGUCAGUGGAAGUGGGAACAUAUUUCUAUGGAUGUUAUCACCAAAUAGCUGAGGACCGCGAGGUGUGUCGAUGCAAUUUGGGUGAUCGUCGACCGGCUGACGAAGAGUGCUCACUUUCUUCCUAUCAGUGAGAACUCUUCCGCAUAGAGGCUAGUAGAGUUGUAUGUGAGAGAGGUGGUAUCGAGGCAUGAAGUGCCGAUCUCGAUUGUGUCAGAUCGAGACAUACGUUUCACUUCCAGGUUUUGGAAGAAGUUCCAUGAGGAGUUGGGCACGAGGCUGCGUUUCAGUACUGCCUACCACCCACAUAUGGACGGACAGAGUGAGCGGAUGAUCCAGACACACGAGGACAUGCUCCGAGCAUGUGUGUUGGACUUCGGAAGAAGCUGGGACACGUAUUUGUCGUUGGCAGAGUUUUCCUAUAAAAACAGCCACCAUUUGAGUAUUGGUAUGCCUCCCUUCGAGUUGUUGUUGUUGGGUUUUGAGCAUUCUAACACUCGUAAGUGUACAUGCAACCCUAAAUACCUUGGAUCUAUGUUUUCUCUAUUAUACAUGCAAAUAUGAACAUCCAAGGUAUUAUCCUAAUCUAGCAUACACAACAAUGAAUAUAAUAAGAUAGAAUACAUACCUCUUUGAUGUAGAAAGUCUUUAUGAAGCUUAAGUUCCUAAUGCCCCAAGUGUGACACCUCAAAUGGUUCACACAACACCAAAUACACUUGGAAUAGCUUGAGAGAAUUCUACACUUCAUGAAAAUAGGCUAGCCCUUCUAUUACACACUCUAGUGGCCGAUUUUGGUAAAGAAUAAGAUGCAUAUAGUUAGGGUUACACCAUGUAAACCCUAAUUGUAAUGGCCUUUCAUUUCCAUGAUCCAUGGGUCCAAAAACACCAUGGGGCAUCCAUGGAGCAUCAUAUGGGUUUUAGCCCAACUAGAUAAUCCAUGGAGCAUUAGCCCACUAUAUAAGUAUGGAUGAUUUGCACAAUCAACCCAUCCAUUUAAUUAGCCUUCUUUUGAUCACUUAAAUAUCCUAGAUUAAUUCUUGAUCAAUACUAAUUAAACAAUCUUAUUAUUCUUGUUAUUAAUAUACUAGAGCUUAUAAUAUAUUAAUAACCAUAAGUUUCUUAUUUCUCUCAUUAUUGUCUAUCCAAGUGCAUGAUGCCAUGCAACCCAAAUGGACCAUGUCGGUUCGGGUCAAGUCAUACCAAUUAUAGUUAUGGACUUAGAUAUUAAUCCAACAGUCUCCCACUCGGAUAACUCUAAAACUAUUAUUGUAUAUGACUUUAGGAACCGACUGGCAAUCGUAACUCUCAAACGCUUCUAUCGAACUCUUACCUUGUCGAUAAACUCUGACCUUUGUCAAUGACUUGUCCAUUAGAUAAGGGAUCAUAUAUUCCUCCAUUCUAGAUAUCAUAUGGACUAAGACAUGGACUAUAAUCAUUCUCUCUAUCCAUUUGUUAUUUCCCAAUUUCCGAUUUAUGACGAUUGACUAAUUGAACAAAUCAAAUUAGUCCUGGUCCAGCCGAGAACUUCCAUUUGUCAUCAUCAAAUUAUCGAGGGGCCCACACAUAUCGCUUUUACCCCGAAGGUAAAAGGAAUGGAUAAACUUCGACUCAUAUGGCUUGUUCUACAACCUGUUGAAUCAUACACAAACGCACGUUUUAUAACACUGAGUUACCGAAUGCGUUUUCGUGUAAUCAAUGUACAACCAACUCAUAGUAACAACUCAUAUCUCUAGGUUUGAAGAAUAAAACAUAUUAUCAUCUCAUGAUCACUCGUGAUAAAAUCCAUGAAGUGAUUCCAAUGAGCGCGGGUUGAAUCCAAUACUCAGAACUUAUGAGCACUCAUGAGUGCUGUAGCCCUUUGUCCAACACCUUAGACCUCUACAAGCCAACCCAUGAUAGUCUUAAUUGAUAUCUACUUCCAACAUAUGACCGACUGUGGAUGGUUUGAAUAACUUAGUCAUUCUGGAAGAAUAACCUAGUUUAUUCUGUAAGUUAAAACAUGCAAAAUGAAACACAAGAAUAAUUGAAUCCAAUAUGGUAUCAAAACCUAUGAACAUAAAUAGAACACCUUUUAUUUAUCACCAUAUGAUUACACAUUAUUCAUUGUAUACUGUUUCAGCUAUCAACUUUAUUCUUGAAUUUAAAACAAUAGUUGUCCCAUGCUCCAAGCAUGUACACUAUGUUUUCUAAACACUAGUCAUGCCAUACACCAAGUAUGCAUACUAUGUUUGUCUAUGAUCUUUACUUUGUGAACUAGAUCAAUUGAACAUAACUUCAAUGAUUCUCUUUUCACACUCCCAAAUCCUUACUGCAAAUGCAAGAAUUCCAAAUUCAUGCCAUUUACUGAAAUCUGUUAGAUUCUAAACUUAUAUGCAUUGAUCCUCUUGUAAUGAUUAUGCACAAAGUCACAAAGACUUGGCAACAAUCAUUACAGAGUAUUCCAAAGGAGAUCAACUCCUUGGAAAUAUCCUUCUUGCAUUAAGUUUCCUUAAUCUUACACAGAUUGAAAAUUCUAAAGUUUGAAACAUUUCCAGAUUCAUUUUGACUAUGAAUUCUGAACAAGAGUUGCCUCCUUACAAAUUAUGUCAAUAUGGUCCUUCCAGAAUUAUCACUAUACUUCCAACUGUCCUUGAGCACCCAAUCUUUGGUAAACCUUAGAUUGUCCUCGACAAUUGUUUAAUCCUUUUAGUCAUAUCCAGUUCUAAACCUUUUCCCUUCUUAAUGCCCCAGGCAUUUGGAAAAUUUUAGAACGGAUGAAUAUAGCACAUGUAAUCGAUCCUAUAUCCGAAGCAUAUGGGACACGAUUCAUGAUGUCUUACAUAAAGACUAAACCAGUCUUUUGCUAUAAUAUUUCCAUUUCAAUUUGCCAAGUUCUCAUAAUUCAGAUUAUGAAAAGGGAUGCCGUAAUCAUAAUCGAAUUUUAGAACGCAAAUAAUGGACCCAUAUACAGAAUUUCCUUAUGUUGAGCCAUUCCAACAUGAAAUUCAUAUAUAUCCUUGACUAAAUGAUUAAAACCUCACAAUCUAAGCUUAUAGAUUUGAGAUGAAGUAUAAUUUCCUCUCCCUUAAUUAUAGCAAAACAACUUUUUCCCAAUUGAAACCUUUCGUUUUCUAUAAUUAACAUUUCUAACUUGCAAUACUUUAUCAUAAUUAUCAUGCUCCCAAUAACAUGAUUAUUAUUAGCAUAACACUUAUGCUCCCACUAGCUUUGACAUGUACUCAGAAAUCAGCUGGCUUUCUAGAAAUCAAUACUUCAUUGACUUUCUUACCAAAGUUCAGAUUUCUGAUACUAGAUUGUUUUGAUAAGACUUUAUCAAAAUCAUACACCUUCCCUUAGAUAGCACACUUGUGUAUCUAAACAAUUAUGAAGAGGGAUGCCGUAAUCAUAAUGUUUAGACCUUUUUGCCACUUCUCACAAGUCCAAAUUAGUGUGCCGGUUAACCACACGCGCUCCACUAACGACUUUGAGAAUGCAAAUAUCACAAUUGCUAUCUAGCUAAAAUCUACUUAGUGAAAGUGUUUCCUCACCAUCAUUUUCAUGAAUCGGAGAGAAACCUUAUGACACUUAGAUUUAAUGGUGUAUGUGUUCUUAUCCAUGUGAAUUGUCAAAACCAUAGUCACAAGACAAGGAUAAUGACAAAUCCAAACUCAUAUGGACUGAACUCAAUCUUAAUUUCUUGCCACCUGGCAGCUCAAGGGCCUACCAUUGCUUCCAAGUUGUUGUGCAACAAAUUGAGAACUCUAAGAACUCAUAUGCAAAGCCAACUUUAACUGGAAUGGGCACAGAAUAUGUCAACACGAUAGGUUAUGAACCUCAAGUUGUGUGCUAGUGAAGAACUUUAGGUUUUAUUCUUGAUUAGUUCUUGAGACUUUCAAGACCUUUAAGACUCCCACUGACCUCUUGACAUAUAAGACUCCCUUGUCAAACAUCCAAGAGAUAGUGCGGAUUCUAAUCAAGAAAAACACUUUACCCAAUUGGCCUAAGUUGGUCUUUGUUUUAUCCAAAACAUCACAACUUACCAAUUUCAAAUGUACAAGAGUAGAAAACUUUUACUCUUACAUUUGACAAGUGUUUUAAACCUUCUUUAAGACAUGUCACUCAAAUUACAAUCUUGGAGUAUGACUCUAAGACUUGUAUUGGAACGAAGUAUGACUCAUCUUCUUGAUUUAACCAUUUCAACAAUUCAAGUUCCUCUUGUUAGUCAUAGCAAUGCACUAAAAUUUCCUUAGAGAACUAAUUUUGAUAUGGUUUCUUAAUCAUUAAGAUGAUCACAAAAACUAAUACUAAAGCACUCUCCCAUCUUUUCAGAUUUGAGAAACUUUUAUCCUUCUGCCUAACUUGAUUCUUCUUAUUCGCUCUGCCAUACAUUGGAACCUUUUCCAAUGUCUCAGAGUUACACUUAUGCUUGUAAGUAUAAUCAUAUUUACUGAGCUUUAGUAAAAGAUGACGAAGAGUCUUAUCGAUCUUUUGUGAUGGACUUGACCAGUGCACAAGAAUGUGUACUCGAUACCAUAGUCCUUCACUUCACUCACACAUCCAUGUGAACAAGUAGUUAGUCUUAAUUUUUCCAAUGCUUGAAAGUUCUCAUUCAUCAUGCUAUACAACUUGCAUGAUUCCAAGUUUCUAUCCAACUGAAACUUGGGUGAUGAGAAUCAUUCCUUAUUUGGUAAAUUUAGACACUACCACAAAUGAAAGAAUCAAAUUCAUAUUUCCACUCUUGCUCUUAAUGGAAUCUUAUAAGCAACAAAAAUUUCCACAGAUGCCAUUGUAAGGAUAUUUUAAAAUAAAUAAAAUCAAAAUUUUCUUUUUGUUUUAAAAAACUUUGCGGAAGAACUUGUCCUUACAAUCCAUAUGAAAACAUGUUGUUAUCUAUUCCUAAGCAAUUUCUCAUAACUCCUAAGAAGUAGCUCAUGAAUCCAAUCUUCAAACUUUGCGAUAGAAAUCCAUCUACGCGAUCAAAUUCAGCAUAUUCUUUAUUUAAGUUUCUUCACUUUUCUUUGAUUCUUAAAACAUCACCAUGGGACCCAGUCACAUCAUGUAUCAAGAAUCUCAUAAUAGAAACUUAGCAGAGUUAGAUAGUGGACUUUACCUGAAGUAGAGUCAAAUUUGUUAACUUUAACAUCCUUAGGUAAAUUUAGUAGCUUCGCAACAAAUGCCCCUUUCUUUGGCAAUUUAACAUAUGGAUGCUUUGGUAAUGGAACAUGGGACUAUCACAGACUUAGCCUUUCUCUUUACCAUUUGGUCAACCGAGUUGACUAUGGCCGAUCCCUUUCCAUUCGGAAGAUAGAGCUUUUUCUGGAUUUCCAGUGUCACCAUUGUCAAUGUCCAUAAAGUUUUUGGAUGAUAAUCUUAGCAAAUAGAUAAGAUCAUUAAGGGUCUUGUCAUAGUCUGUUUCAUAGGAGUCCCAAAGGAGCUCACAAUGUGACUUAGAAAGUGAUUGAACCACCAACUAUCUCAAGACUUUGACACCCAACUCUCCCGGCUUGUCAAUAUGUGACUACAUCUCUAAGAUGUCAUCACACCUAGACCUUGCCUUGCCAAUAGGGCUUUAGUGGCCUGGAACUUGUGGGUUAGGGAGAAUAAUUGGAGGAGGUGAAAGAAGUAUGAUUUCCAUGGGACAUCAUCUUCAUUUAGGAAAGCUUGUUUCAAGAGAUUUGGGAAGAUCAUAAAUGUCUAAACCAAACAUCUUUUGGGAGAUAUUUAAGAUAGUUGAUCUAAAGUCCUUAAUAUGAUACCCAAUAUGAAAUAUUAAGGCUACGACCCAACAAAUUAUUUUAUAACUUAGAAGAGGGAUGCCGUAACCAAGCUAUAAAAUAUUUUGAAGGUAGGUGAAUGACGAUUCACCAAUUUCCACCAAGAUAAACGAAAUGUAUUAUUAGGUUUUAAUUGGAUUUGAAACUCCUAGAUCUUUUGAGAUUCAUUGAACUGUUCAAUGGCAUGUUUCAAUCUCGAGUGUGCCCUUCAGGUUUUGUGACUGGGAUGCCGAGGAUCACAAAACAAGGUGUGAAGUAACCAUGCAAAUUACUUGGUACCCUUAAGUGUUUACCCCUCAAUCGAUGUGCCGGUUAACCACACACGCUCCAUCGAUACUAUGAUAAACAUUAAGUUACCCUUUGCCUACCUUGUUAAAUACGAGUUAGUGUGCCGGUUAACCACACACGCUCCACUAACCGACUUAAACAAAGUGCAAAGUGUAAUUUCAUGGAUUAGCAACUUAUUCACAUUUUCCUAAGUAACUAAGAUUGGGUAUUAUUAAGAUUUUAGUUACUUAGUAUUUAUCAUUAAUACUUUAAACAAAGGGAGAAUUAUAGUUCUUGUCCUACCCGUUCGGCUAACGACCCCCACCAGUCAAGCAAGCGGUGGGUGAGAGUGGACACCCAUUAAGUUGCCAUUUUAUAGGCAACAACCUUAUACCCACCUUAUAGACCGGCUUCGUGAAUGAGGCGUACUAGCGGUAAGACUGACUUUACUCUUAUACAUAUAUAUAUUAUUAACUUAUAAUAUUAUAAAGUAUAAGGGUUGAAUUUUAACUUUUAAAAUUCUAAGGGCUAACUUGGAAUUAAAGUAUUCAUAAGUGAAAACUUUACAAAUUCCAAAACUUGAGGGCAAGUUUUGAAACUAUUCAAAACUAAUUAAUUCCAUAACUUAUGUGUUUAAAGUAGUUUUAAUCCAAAAACUCUUCAAGUUCCAUAACUUGAGGACAAGUUAUGGAAGACUUUAAACUAAUAAAAGAAUUAACUUUUCUUUAUUUUAUAACUUAUGGAAUUAAUUAAGGUUACACCUUUUUUUNACUAUUUCACUCAACUUUUCUAUUAAUCUAAGCAACUCAUAAGAACAAGAUAAUUCAAAUCAAACUUUUUCAUGUAAUUAGUCUAAACCUUAAACUAAUACAAAACAUGAAUCUAUUGACAAUUAUCUUUGAAAUUGGAUUUGCAUGAACAUUACCACAUCAAAAACAAGUUUAUAAGUCCAAAAACAUCUUAGGGGAAUGUUCCUAGUCUAACUCCAGCCAAAAAAGUCGAAUUUAUGAUGUUUGGGAGUCCAACUCGUCGAGUGCACGAACCAACUCGGCGAGUUGGAUGCAUUUUGCCUUGGACUCGGCGAGUCCAUUCAUGGACUUGACGAGUCUGCUGGGCAGACAGCAUCAAAACUCGAUUUUUCAGCUACUUUUGCAAGUAUAACAAGAAAACAAGCCUAGGCUCUGAUACCACUGUUGGGUUUUGAGCAUUCUAACACUCCUAAGUGUACAUGCAACCCUAAAUACCUUGGAUCUAUGUUUUCUCUAUUAUACAUGCAAAUAAGAACUUCCAAGGUAUUAUCCUAAUCUAGCAUACAAAACAAUGACUAUAGCAAGAUAGAAUACAUACCUCUUUGAUGUAUAUUGUCUUCAUGAAGCUUGAGUUCCUAGUGCCCCAAGUGUGACACCUCAAAUGGUUCACACAACAUUAAAUACACUUGGACUAACUUGAGAGAAUUCUACAGUUCAUGAAAAUCGGCUACCCUUCUAUUACACACACUAGUGGCCAAUUUUGGUCAAGAAUAAGAUGCAUAUAUAGUUACGGUUACACCAUGUAAAUCCUAAUUGACAUGGCCUUUCAUUUCCAUGAUCCAUGGGUACAAAUACACCAUGGAGCAUCCAUGGACCAUCCUAUGGGUUUUAGCCCAACUUGAUUAUCCAUGGAGCAUUAGCCCACUAUACAAGUAUGGAUGAUUUACACAAUCAACCCAUAUAUUUAAUUAGUCUUCUUUUGAUCACUUAAUUAAUCCUAGAUUAAUUCUUGAUCAAUACUAAUUAAAUAAUCUUAUUAUUCUUAUUAUUAAUAUACUAGAACUUAUAAUAUAUUAAUAACCAUAAGUGUCUUAUUUCUCUCAUUAUAGUCUAUCCAAGUGCAUGAUGGCAUGCAACCGAAAUGAACCAUGCCGGGUCGGGUCAAGUCUUAACAAUUAUAGUUAUGGACUUAGACAUUAAUCCAACAGUUGUUUGGGAGGAGGUGUCAGACUCCCAUCUGCUGGGGAGAGGUAGGGCAGCGAGUGAUGGGCAGCACUGAGAUAGUUCUUCAGAUGACAGAGCAGAUAUAGCAGGUCAGGCAAAGGUUGUUGACAGCUCAGAGACGCCAGAAGAGUUACGCGGAUAGGCGACGAUCCGAGCUCGAGUUUCAGGUUGGAGACUUUGUUCUCCUGAAGGUAUCUCCUUGGAAAGGAGUGAUCUGAUUCAAAAAGAGGGGCAAGCUGGGGCCUCGGUACAUUGGUUCGUUCCGGGUGACUGCGAGGGUGGGCAGUGUAGCGUAUCAUUUGGAGCUACCUGCGGAGUUGAGCCAGAUACAUGAUACCUUCCACGUUUCUCAGUUGAGGAAGCGUAUAGUCGACGAGUCGGAUGUAGUGCCACUAGAGGACAUUCAGGUGGAUGCGAGCCUGAAUUACGUUGAGAAGCCAAUCGCAAUCUGGGAUCGAAAGAUAAAGGUUAUAAGGAACAAGGAGGUGCCCCUGGUUCAGGUCCAGCGGCAACAUCGGAGAGGGUCCGAAUUGACUUGGGAGCCGAAGGCGGAGAUGAGGAGGUAGCCCCAGAGUUGUUUGCAGAAUGAGACUUUAAGGGCGAAGUCUGUUUCUAGUAAGGGAUAAUUGUAACAUCCGGAUUUGUCGGUAUGCUAUUUUGAUUAUUCUAAUUUUUUUGAAGUCAUUGGAGGGACUCGACGAGUUGGUGCAUCAACUCGUUGAGUAGGGUCGUGACUUUUGACACGUUUUAUCGACUGGACUCGCCGAGUCGGGUAUCUGACUCGACGAGUCGGUGCUGACGACAAAAAACCUAAUUUUUCAGGUUGAGGACCUAUUUAAAGGUCCUUAUGGCCUUCAUUUGCGGCCACUUACUCCCCUGAGAAACCCUAAAGAGCGAAGAGAGCUUGGAGAGCAAGGGAAAGGCUAAUUCUUCAUCCUUUUGGUGUGAUCUUGCAAGAAGGAGUGGGAAAGUCCAAGCUAGAUCGGUUGUGGAACUUAGAUCUGUGUUGUACAUACUGAGAUUCACUUCUGGAGGUACAAAUCAUUUCCCAUUUCGUGUAUUUGAUAGAUUUCUUGAAUCUAGGGUUUCUUUGCAUCUUUUUGAGUUGGAUCUUGAAGCAUGUGAUGACCCAAGGUGGUGGAGAUGUUAGAUCUGCACCAUGAGAGGUCCAAAGAGCCCCAACCUUCUAGCUUUAUGUUGUUUCAUGAGAGUUUUGUGAGUAGGUUACUAUUUUAAAGGUUAUUUCUCCAUUUAUGUCUUUGUAUGUGUUGCAUGAACAUAAAGUUUGAACCUUUACAUGACUUUUGAGAGCUAGAAGGUUGGAUCUACUAUUUAGAGAAGCAGAUCUGAUCUCAAAAGGUCGUUUGAGUGUUGCCAUGGAAGGAACUCACCGAGUCCACAAGGGGACACGACGAGUCGAUUCGGGUUGCCCCGCGAUUCAUGACAAGUGGUAAGCCGUCGAGUGGAAGGUUUCACUCGAAGAGUCGAAUGAGGUUUAGAAAGACCCAGAGGACAUGCUUGGACUCGCCGAGUCACCUAUGUGCACUCGACGAGUCUGGUCAAAUUUGACCGUUGACUUUCGUUGACUUUUAGGGUCUACUUGAUGUUGGACUUUUGAGCCAUUGGAGGGGUAAAAUGGUCUUUUACCCACCUGAGGGAACUUUGAGAGGGAAUAGCCUAGCCUUUGAGAGUCGUAUUGAUUAGAGUAUUUAUUUUAUGUGAUUAGGCGUAGGGUAGAUUAGUAUUUCCGAGUUCGAGAUUUACCGAGUUACCCGAGGCGAGUCUUCUCACUAUACUUUACCUAGUGUGGUAAUUAGAGUUAUGUGACAUAGUAUGUGUUAUGCUAUUAUAUGUUGUGAUAUCGAUGUGAUUCUGUGCUAUGUGUGAUUCAGAGUUUAUAGGGUAGGACUGAAAGGUCCACAGAGUUAGGACUAGAGGGUCCACAGAGUUAUGACCAAAGGGUCCACAGAGUUCGGAACAGAGGGUCCACAAAGUUAGGACUAAAGGGUCCACAGAGUUAUGAGAAUGGAGGGUCCCACUAAGACACUGUGAUCAGAGGGUCAUACAGAGUUAUAGCCUUGAGUUACUAAUAUGUGUUGUAUGUGGCAUUUUGGGGAACUCACUAAGCAUUUUUGCUUACGCUGUAAUGUAUAUGUGUUUCAGGUACUAGUGAUGAUCGUGAAAAGGUGUCGGCAUGAUCCAUACACACAGACCGACGAUUUUUAUUUGUGAUCUUGGGAAAUGUUUUAUUAGACGACAAUUGUUCAACAUGAGAUUUGAGAAUGUUUAAAUGAUAAUUAUGUUGUUUGAAAAAUGAAAAAUUGUUUUGAAAAUUUAUGUCGUCACACCUGGCCCACAACCAUCGGGUUAAAAUGCCCACUUACUAUGAGUCCAAUCAUCCUACCGGGAUAGAAUACUCCUGGCCCACAACCAUCGGGUUGGAAUGCCCACCUACUAUGAGUCCGAUCUUUCCUUGGGAUGGAAUACUCUCAGCCCACAAUCAUCAGGUUGUAUUUCCCACAUACUAUCAAAUAAACAUAUGCACCUAUAUCAGGUAAUCAUAUAACAGUCUACCAAACAACAUACUAGGGCCCUAUCAUCCUAGGGAUGGAAUACUCUUAACUAUAACAAGCUUGUGCACAUAUAAAAGGUAAUCUCCUACCAGCAUACAGACAGUCAGACUAUCUAUAGGUCACUACAAAUAACCACAUCUUAUCUACCAGGAUAUUGAUCUAAUCGAUCGUACUAGCACGUAACCAUCCUAUCUACCAGGAUAUCGAGCUAACAUAUCACAAUAGUAACUAUCUCAAAUAACAAAUCAAAGGGCCGGCCAUGGUGCCUUAGACCCUUGAGUAUAGUGAGGAUAACUCACCUUGAAAACGUUGAACUAAAGAGAUGAGAUCAAAACUCUCGCUCACCGCCACGAACACCACCGCCUAAAACUUCAUUGAAACCAUAACCACCAGAGCCCAAAUUACCAAAAUACCCCUUUGAAGUCAAACUGCUCAACUCUUGGUCAAAGUCACAGUCCUGGUCAAAGUCAACCUUCCUGGUUGUCCCUACUCGCUGAGUCAUCCAAGUGACUCGUCGAGUUCAUGAACUCAAAACCCUACAAUUUGCGAAUGGACUCGCCGAGNGCCGAGUUCACUUAAUUCAUCCUUAUUCAGACAAUUUCAGACCAUUUCACUACUUCCAACUCAUAGAUUUGGACUCCUAGGGCUAAUUUCACAUGUAAAGUUUCCAACUUUAUGUGCAUGCAAAGCAAUAUAGGCUCAACGCAAGCUAGAAAGAAGGUUAAAGACAAGAAUUCUCUUAUACAUUCAAAAAGGAUGAUACUUUAUGCCUCCAUGGACUAAGAUAAGUCUGGAUCUGAAGUUGAAACCCCAGAUCUAGUCCCAUAACCGGAAAUGGAUCUCAAACAUGCUAAAUAGCCCCAAAUCAUCAUCCAAGAAUAGAUCUAGAAGGAAAGAGCUCAAAGCAACGACUUGUUACCUCCAGAAUUUGCCCAAUAUGAAUUCGAUUCUGGAUCUACACGAAUUCCUUGAUUCUAGCCUCUUGAUCUACAAGCUUCCUUCACUAUAUUCCUCCUCCAAAGCUCAAAUCUCUUCAACAAUGGAAGCUCACAUGAUUUUAGGGUUUAAUGACUCUCAUGGGUAACAAGGAGGUUGAGGGGAGGACAUAAGGUCCUUUAAAUAGGGUGCAAACCAAAAGAUUUAGGGUUUUCUCUUCGCAGCACUGACUCGUCGAGUCCAGCCGCCGACUCGGCAUGUCAGGUCGCAUAUCACGUGCCCAACACACAUUCCAAAUUGAUGAGUUAAAUUUGGCUUUGUCCUCGAAGCAUGCUGCAACACACGAUUUCGGAUAACACUCCUACAUUGCAGCCUCCGAUCUCCCAAACCAGCCCAAUUCUCUUCAGGCACUACUACCACAUCUUUUCUACAGAAACUCCUUCUUGUGCAGGAUUCCAGCCUAUCACUCCAAACCGUCCACCGUCCGCUUCUCCUUACCACCCGCACACCUCGAUCUAAGUACCACCCGAUGAUGUUGUCACUUUCCCGACACACACAUACUUUUGUGAAUUGCGAGGGAUUAAUACUACUAUAAUCCACUGGGCUCUGCUAUAGCCCUAAGCUAUCUUUCUCCUAUCAAAACUAACGAAAACUCGGGUAACUUCAAAUAUUGGUAAGUCAUCCAGCUCUCCUCCUGAAUCUAAUCCAUUUCCAUGCUGACAGGAUGACACAUCCUUCAACUUCCGAACAAAUCUCAUGAACAACCAACUUAACCAAAUAAACACUCAUACAUGGCCCAAUCAGCCUCGAGCUGGAAUACCAGGCAUGUCUAUGACGGGUCCAGUCUUCCCUAGGAUGGUAUACCCUCGAAUCCUUACACAUGUUUGGCCCAAUCAACCCUCGGGUUGGAAUACCAAACACAUCAAGUCCAAUCAAUCAUAGGGUCUAGUCAUCCUCAUGAUGGAAUACCCUAUAUUGGAAUACCACUACAUACAUAANCCAUGUCUACCCAUACUUGGUAUCCAGGGAUCUAUCUCUGCAUUUCCUUCAAACUUCUCUGAUUCGACACAACCGAGCACAGCUCAGCCAAAUGUCAACCAUAUGUCCAAUCCGAACGUACUCCUACAACAGACAUAAUCACACAAUCUCUAAGCCCACAGCCCAUGACUGGAAUACCCUCACAUGGUCCUCAGCAUAGGUCUGGAUUGCUUUCGAGUCUGUCUAAAACUCGAUUCUGGAGAUACUCACCUCCUUUAACUCCAAGGAGGCUUAACGCCCUGACCUUGCAACAUCAGUAAUUGACACAACAUCGUAGCUUCUCUCUACACUAUCCACGUGUAGAUCACGAUGCCAUUCCAUAACACAUAUAAUCAGCACCUGGACACACAACUGAUAACCUAUACAAAGUCCUCAUCACACUUCCUCAACAUAUCCAUCAAUUGAAGACAGACCCACUAAUUGCUAUUAGCAUAGCAAUAUACUUCAUGCCUGUAUAUAGAUCUACCAUUCAUAUAGAGUUUUCAGCAUAACUGGGCCACCUCAUUACACCAUCCUAGUAACUAUCAUCUAAGCUGCAUCAGGUAGCAUGGGGUUUCUUAAUUGUGCUAUGGUUUCUUAAUCAUUAAGAUGAUCACAAAAACUGAUACUAAAGUACUCUCCCAUCUUUUCAGAUUUGAGAAACUUUUAUCCUUCUGCCUAAUUUGAUUCUUCUUAUUCACUCUGUCAUACAUUGGAACCUUUUUCCAAUGUCUCAGAGUUACACUUAAGCUUGUAAGUAUAAUCAUAUUUACUGAGCUUUAGUACAUUAUGACGAAUAGUCUUAUUGAUCUUUUGUGGUGGACUUAAUCAGUGCACACGAAUGUGUACUUGAUCCCUUAGUCCGUUACUUGACUCACAUAUCCAUGUGAACAAGCAGUUAGUCUUAAUUUUUCCAAUGCUUGAAAGUUCUCAUUCAUCAUGCUAUACAACUUGCAUGAUUCCAAGUUUCUAUCCAACUGAAACUUGGGUGAUGAGAAUCUUUCCUUAUUCGGUGAAUUUAGACACUACCACAAAUGAAAGAAUCAAAUUCAUAUUUCCACUCUUGCUCUUAAUGGAAUCUUAUAAGUAACAAAAAUUUUCACAGAUGCCAUUGUAAUGAUAUUUUAAAAAUAAAUAAAAUCAAAUUUUUUAUUUUAUUUUAAAAAACUUUGCGGAAGAACUUGUCCUUACAAUCCANNNNNNNNNNNNNNNNNNNNNNNNNNNNNNNNNNNNNNNNNNNNNNNNNNNNNNNNNNNNNNNNNNNNNNNNNNNNNNNNNNNNNNNNNNNNNNNNNNNNAUUUCCGGUUAUGGGACUAGAUCUGGGGUUUCAACUUCAGAUCCAUACUUAUCUUAGUCCAUGGAGGCAUAAAGUAUCAUCCUUUGUGAAUGUAUAAGAGAAUCCUUGUCUUUAACCUUCUUUCUAGCUUGCGUUGAGCCUAUAUUGCUUUGCAUGCACAUAAAGUUGGAAACUUUACAUGUGAAACUAGCCCUAGGAGUCCAAAUCUAUAAGUUAGAAGUAGUGAGAUGGUCUGAAAUCGUCUGAAUAGGGAUGACUUAAGUAGACUCGGCGAGUCUAUUCUUGGACUCGAUGUGUUGGGUCGCAAGGCCUAACCUAGCUGGUUAUGUUGCAAAUCAGUGAGUUGAGUGGUGACUCAGUGAGUUGGACAGGCUAAGACUUGGAUUGAAGGACUCGACGGGUCAUGGGGUGACUCGGCGAGUCCAUUCGCAAAUUGUAGGGUUUUGAGUUCAUGAACUCGACGAGUCACUUGGAUGACUCAGCGAGUAGGGACAACCAGGAAGGUUGACUUUGACCAGGACUGUGACUUUGACCAAGAGUUGAGCAGUUUGACUUCAAAGGGGUAUUUUGGUAAUUUGGGCUCUGGUGGUUAUGGUUUCAAUGAAGUUUUAGGCGGUGGUGUUCGUGGCGGUGAGCGAGAGUUUUGAUCUCAUCUCUUUACUUUAACGUUUUCAAGGUGAGUUAUCCUCACUAUACUCAAGGGUCUAAGGCACCAAGGCCGGCCCUUUGAUUUGUUAUUUGAGAUAGUUACUAUUGUGAUAUGUUAGCUCGAUAUCCUGGUAGAUAGGAUGGUUACGUGCUAGUACGAUCGAUUAGAUCAAUAUCCUGGUAGAUAAGAUGUGGUUAUUUGUAGUGACCUAUAGAUAGUCUGACUGUCUGUAUGCUGGUAGGAGAUUACCUUUUAUAUGUGCACAAGCUUGUUAUAGUUAAGAGUAUUCCAUCCCUAGGAUGAUAGGGCCCUAGUAUGUUGUUUGGUAGACUGUUAUAUGAUUACCUGAUAUAGGUGUAUAUGUUUAUUUGAUAGUAUGUGGGAAAUACAACCUGAUGAUUGUGGGCUGAGAGUAUUCCAUCCCAAGGAAAGAUCGGACUCAUAGUAGGUGGGCAUUCCAACCCGAUGGUUGUGGGCCAGGAGUAUUCUAUCCCGGUAGGAUGAUUGGACUCAUAGUAAGUGGGCAUUUUAACCCGAUGGUUGUGGGCCAGGUGUGACGACAUAAAUUUUCAAAACAAUUUUUCAUUUUUCAAACAACGUAAUUAUCAUUUAAACAUUCUCAAAUCUCAUGUUGAGCAAUUGUCGUCUAAUAAAACAUUUCCCAAGAUCACAAAUAAAAAUCGUCGGUCUGUGUGUAUAGAUCAUGCCGGCACCUUUUCACGAUCAUCAGUAGUACCUGAAACACAUAUACAUUACACCGUAAGCAAAAAUGCUUAGUGAGUUCCCCAAAAUGCCACAUACAACACAUAUUAGUAACUCAAGGCUAUAACUCUGUAUGACCCUCUGAUCACAGUGUCUUAGUGGGACCCUCCAUUCUCAUAACUCUGUGGACCCUUUAGUCCUAACUCUGUGGACCCUCUGUUCCGAACUCUGUGGACCCUUUGGUCAUAACUCUGUGGACCCUCUGGUCCUAACUCUGUGGACCUUUCAGNNNNNNNNNNNNNNNNNNNNNNNNNNNNNNNNNNNNNNNNNNNNNNNNNNNNNNNNNNNNNNNNNNNNNNNNNNNNNNNNNNNNNNNNNNNNNNNNNNNNUUUCGAGUCUGUCUAAAACUCGAUUCUGGAGAUACUCACCUCCUUCAACUCCAAGGAGGCUUAACGCCCUGACCUUGCAACAUCAGUAAUUGACACAACAUCGUAGCUUCUCUCUACACUAUCCAUGUGUAGAUCACGAUGCCAUUCCAUAACACAUAUAAUCAGCACCUGGACAUACAACUGAUAACCUAUACAAAGUCCUCAUCACACUUCCUCAACAUAUCCAUCAAUUGAAGACAGACCCACUAAUUGCUAUUAGCAUAGCAGUAUACUUCAUGCCUGUAUAUAGAUCUACCAUUCAUAUAGAUUUUUCAGCAUAACUGGGCCACCUCAUUACACCAUCCUAGUAACUAUCAUCUAAGCUGCAUCAGGUAGCAUGUGGUUUCUUAAUUGUGCUAUGGUUUCUUAAUCAUUAAGAUGAUCAACAAAACUGAUACUAAAGUACUCUCCCAUCUUUUCAGAUUUGAGAAACUUUUAUCCUUCUGCCUAAUUUGAUUCUUCUUAUUCACUCUGUCAUACAUUGGAACCUUUUUCCAAUGUCUCAGAGUUACACUUAAGUUUGUAAGUAUAAUCAUAUUUACUGAGCUUUAGUACAUUAUGACGAAUAGUCUUAUUGAUCUUUUGUGGUGGACUUAAUCAGUGCACACGAAUGUGUACUUGAUCCCUUAGUCCGUUACUUGACUCACAUAUCCAUGUGAACAAGCAGUUAGUCUUAAUUUUUCCAAUGCUUGAAAGUUCUCAUUCAUCAUGCUAUACAACUUGCAUGAUUCCAAGUUUCUAUCCAACUGAAACUUGGGUGAUGAGAAUCUUUCCUUAUUCGGUGAAUUUAGACACUACCACAAAUGAAAGAAUCAAAUUCAUAUUUCCACUCUUGCUCUUAAUGGAAUCUUAUAAGCAACAAAAAUUUUCACAGAUGCCAUUGUAAUGAUAUUUUAAAAAUAAAUAAAAUCAAUUUUUUUUUAUUUUAGAAAACUUUGCGGAAGAACUUGUCCUUACAAUCCAUAUGAAAACUUGUUGUUAUCUAUUCCUAAGCAAUAUCUCAUAACUCCUAAGAAGUAGCUCAUGAAUCCAAUCUUCAAACUAUGCGAUAGAAAUCCAUCUACGCGAUCAGAUUCAGCAUAUUCUUUCUUUAAGUUUCUUCACUUUUCUUUGAUUCUUAAAACAUCACCAUGUGACCCAGUCACAUCAUGUAUCAAGAAUCUAAGAAUAGAAACUUAGCAAAGUUAGAUAGUGGACUUUACCUAAAAUAGUGUCAAACUUAUUGACUUUAACAUCCUUAGGUAAAUUUAGCAGCUUCGCAACAAAUGCCCCUUUCUUUGGCAAUUUAACAUAUGGAUGCUUUGGUAAUGGAACAUGGGACUAUGAAAGACUUAGCCUUUCUCUUUACCAUUUGGUCAACUGAGUUGACUAUGGCCGAUCCCUUUCCAUUGGGAAGAGAGAGCUUUUUCUGGAUUUCCAGUGUCACCAUUGUCAAUGUCCAUAAAGUUUUAGGAUGAUGAUCUUAGCAAAUAGAUAAGAUCAGUAAGGGUCUUGUCAUAGUCUGUUUCAUAGGAGUCCCAAAGGAACUCACUAUGUGACUUAGAAAGUGAUUGAACCAACAACUUUCUCAAGACUUUGACACCAACUCUCCCGGCUUGUCAAUAUGUGACCACAUCUCCAAGAUGUGACCACACAUAGACCUUUACUUGCCAAUAGGGCUUGAGUGACCUUAAAAUUUUCAAGAACUUGUGGGUUAGGGAGAAUAAUUGGAGGAGGUGAAAGAAGUAUGAUUUCCAAGGGACAUCAUCUUCAUUUAGGAAAGCUUGUUUCAAGAGAUUUGGGAAGAUCAUAAAUGUCUAAACCAGACAUGUUUUUGGGAGAUAUUCAAGAUAGUUGAUCUAAAGUCCUUAAUAUGACACCCAAUAUGAAAUAUUAAGGCUAGGACCCAACAAACUAUUUUAUAACUUAGAAGAGGGAUGCCGUAAUCCAAGCUAUAAAAUAUUUGAAGGUAGGUGAAUGACGAUUCACCAAUUUCCACCAAGAAAAACGAAAUAAUUUAUUAGGUUUUAAUUGGAUUUGAAAUUCCUAGAUCUUUUGAGAUUCAUUGAACUUUUCAAUGGCAUGUUUCAAUCUCGAGUGUGCCCUCCCAAAUUUUGUGACUGGGAUGCCGAGGAUCACAAAACAAGGUGUGAAUAACCAUACCAAUUCACUUGGUACCCUUAAUAUUAUCACCCAAUCAAUGUGCCGGUUAACCACACACGCUCCAUUGAUCUAUGAAAAACAUUAAGUCACCCUUCGUGGUCCUUACUAGUCCAAGUUAGUGUGCCGGUUAACCACACACGCUCCACCAACGACUUGGUAAGGUACAAAGUGUGAAUUCCAUGGGUUAGCACCAAAUUCACAUUUUUCCUAAAGUAACUAAGAUUGGGAAUUAUUAAGAUUUUAGUUACUUUAGUAUUUAUCAUUAAUACUUUUAAUGAAGGGAGAAUUUAAAGUCAUUGUCCUACCCGUUCGGCUAACGACCCUCCACCAGUCAAGCAAGCGGUGGGUGAGAGUAGACACCCAUUAAGUCGCCAUUUUAUAGGCAACAACCUUAUACCCACCUUAUAGACCGGCUUCGUGAAUGAGGCCUACUAACGGUAAAACGACUUGUUCUUAUACAUAUAUAUAAUAAUUAACCAUUAAUGUUAUAAAUAGUAUAAGUGUUGAAUUUUAACUUUUUUAAAAUUCUAAGGGCUAACUUGGAAUUAAAGUAUUCAUAAGUGAAAACUUUUCAAAUUCCAAAACUUGAGGGCAAGUUUUGAAACUAUUCAAAACUAAUUAAUUCCAUAACUUAUGUGUUUAAAGUAGUUUUAAUCCAAAAAACUCUUCAAGUUCCAUAACUUAUGGAAGACUUUAAACUAAUAAAAGAAUUAAUCUUUUCUUUAUUUUUAUAACUUAUGGAAUUAAUUAAGGUUACACUUUAUUUAUUUAUUUAUUUAUUAAUGAAGUGACUCUUGAAUUUCCAUAACUUGAGGACAAGUUAUGGAGUCAUAAAAAAAAAUUCAAUGACACAAGACUCUUCAUUUUGUAACCAUUACCAACUUUUAUGAGUUUUAUGAGUCUUUAAAGUGACUCUUCAUGUAACUUGAGGACAAGUUACACAAACACAUUUUGUACUCAACUCUUAGAUUAAAAUGGAUUGAAAACAACUAUUUCAAUUAACUUUUCUAUUAAUCUAAGCAACUCAUAAGAACAAGAUAAUUCAUAUCAAACUUCUUCAUGUAAUUAGUCUAAACCUUAAACUAAUACAAAACAUGAAUCUAUUGACAAUUAUCUUUGAAAAUGGAUUAGCAUGAACAUUACCACAUUAAAAAACAAGUUUAUAAGUUCAAAAACAACGUAGGGUAAUGUUCCUAGUCCAUUUCUAGCCAAAAACCUCGAAAAUAUGCUGUCUGGGGUCCAACUCGUCGAGUGCAUGAACAUAACUCGGCGAGUUGGAUGAAUUUUGCCUUGGACUCGUCGAGUCCCUUCAUGGACUCGGCGAGUCUGCUGGGCUGACAGCAUC